AUUGAACGCUGGCGGCAGGCUUAACACAUGCAAGUCGAACGAGUGGCGGACGGGUGAGUAAUGUUUGGGAAUAUGGCUUAUGGCGGGGGAUAACGACGGGAAACAGUCGCUAAUACCGCAUAACAUCGGAUGGGCCCCUGUGGGAUUAGUUCGUUGGUGGGGUAAUGGCCUACCAAGCCGACGAUCUCUAGCUGGUCUGAGAGGAUGAGCGGCAACACUGGGACGGAGGCCCGGUCCGGACUCCUACGGGGGGCAGCAGUGGGGAAUAUUGCACAAUGGGGGCAACCCUGACGCAGACAUGCCUCGUGCAUGAAGAAGGCCUUCGGGUUGUAAAGGUCUUUCGGUGACGAGGCGUUACCCACAGAAAAAGCACCGGCUAACUCCGUGCCAGCAGCCGCGGUAAUUC
rnacentral:rRNA from 1 species